GACGAACGCUGGCGGCGUGCCUAACACAUGCAAGUCGAGCGGGGACUUGGGAGCUUGCUCCUGGGUUCUAGCGGCGGACGGGUGAGUAACGCGUGAGCAACCUGCCUCUUACUGGGGGAUAACGCAUCGAAAGAUGUGCUAAUACCGCGUAAGACCACAGCACCGCAUGGUGCAGAGGUCAAAGGAGCAAUCCGGUAAGAGAUGGGCUCGCGUCCGAUCAGCUAGUUGGUGAGAUAACGGCCCACCAAGGCGACGAUCGGUAGCCGACCUGAGAGGGUGAUCGGCCACAUUGGAACUGAGAUACGGUCCAG
rnacentral:rRNA from 1 species